rnacentral:rRNA from 1 species
GAUGAACGCUGGCGGUAUGCCUAACACAUGCAAGUCGUACGAGAGUUUUCGGACUCUAGUGGCGGACGGGUGAGUAACACGUGAGAAUUUGCCUUUAGGAGGGGGAUAACAAUUGGAAACGAAUGCUAAUACCCCAUAUGCUUUCGAGUGAAACGGAUUUAUCCGCCUAAAGAGAAGCUCGCGGCUGAUUAGCUUGUUGGUAAGGUAAGAGCUUACCAAGGCGACGAUCAGUAUCUGGUUUGAGAGGACGAUCAGACACACUGGAGCUGAGACACGGCCCAGACUCCUACGGGAGGCAGCAGUGGGGAAUAUUGCGCAAUGGGGGAAACCCUGACGCAGCAACGCCGCGUGAAGGAAGAAGGUCUUCGGAUCGUAAACUUUUGUCUUUGGGGACGAAAAAAAUGAC